rnacentral:rRNA from 1 species
CCUGGCGGCGCAGCACCCACGUUUAGUCGAACGAGAAGGGGACCAUCCCUGAGUAAGUGGCGUACGGGUUAACGUGGAUGAUCUGCCUUCUGGUGGGGAAUACGCUGGGAAACCGGCGCUAAUGCCGCAUAAGCCCGCAAGGGGAAAGGAGCAAUUCGCCAGAAGAGGAGUCCGCGGCCGAUUAGCUGGUUGGUAGGGUAACGGCCUACCAAGGCAAAGAUCGGUAGCCGGCCUGAGAGGGCACACGGCCACACUGGCACUGAAACACGGGCCAGACUCCUACGGGAGGCAGCAGUGGGGAACCUUGCACAAUGGGGGAAACCCUGAUGCAGCGACGCCGCGUGAGCGAUGAAGCCCUUCGGGGUGUAAAGCUCUUUCGGCAGGAACGAUAAUGACGGUACCUGCAGAAGAAGCUGCGGCUAACUACGUGCCAGCAGCCGCGGUAAUACGUAGGCAGCGAGCGUUGUACGGAGUUACUGGGCGUAAAGAGUAUGUAGGCGGUUCUAGAAUAG